rnacentral:tRNA from 1 species
GGCGGCAUGGCCGAGUGGUAAGGCGGGGGGCUGCAAAUCCCUUUUCCCCAGUUCAAAUCCGGGUGUCGCCUGAUCAACAAA